ACCAACAGGGAUUGCCCUAGUAACGGCGAGUSAAGCGGCAACAGCUCAAAUUUGAAAUCUGGCUCUUUUAGAGUCCGAGUUGUAAUUUGCAGAGGGCGCUUUGGCUUUGGCAGCGGUCCAAGUUCCUUGGAACAGGACGUCACAGAGGGUGAGAAUCCCGUACGUGGUCGCUAGCUAUUGCCGUGUAAAGCCCCUUCGACGAGUCGAGUUGUUUGGGAAUGCAGCUCUAAAUGGGAGGUAAAUUUCUUCUAAAGCUAAAUAUUGGCCAGAGACCGAUAGCGCACAAGUAGAGUGAUCGAAAGAUGAAAAGCACUUUGGAAAGAGAGUCAAACAGCACGUGAAAUUGUUGAAAGGGAAGCGCUUGCAGCCAGACUUGCUUGCAGUUGCUCAUCCGGGCUUUUGCCCGGUGCACUCUUCUGCAGGCAGGCCAGCAUCAGUUUGGGCGGUGGGAUAAAGGUCUCUGACACGUUCCUUCCUUCGGGUUGGCCAUAUAGGGGAGACGUCAUACCACCAGCCUGGACUGAGGUCCGCGCAUCUGCUAGGAU
rnacentral:rRNA from 1 species